CUACAGUUAACGCUUCAAAGUAAAACAUUGCCGUUUUGCCUCUUGAGACGCUUUUGCUGUAACAGCAACAUUUGACUCCAUCAUGUGAUGUUUAGCGUUCCGGAGAAUAUCAGAAGGUCAACAAAUGCAGUUCAUUGGAAAGCAUUAAAUUCUAUUAGAUUAUAUGUGCAUUAGGUCCCCAAUGCUCCUCAAUAUGGAGUAGUGAAUUGAACCAGUGACAGUGAAGAGAAUGCUGUGGGAG